rnacentral:lncRNA from 1 species
ACAUUAAGUUAAAGUCUUAUUGCUACCCCUGUCUGUUCCUAGGGUCUGUAUUCCAAUGUGGUGUGUCCAGGUACAGCACUGACCAAUUUGACAUAUGGAAUUCUGCCUCCCUUUAUAUGGACACUGUUGAUGCCGGCAAUAUUGCUACUUCGCUUUUUUGCAAAUGCAUUCACUUUGACACCAUACAAUGGAACAGAAGCGCUGGUAUGGCUUUUCCACCAAAAGCCCGAAUCUCUCAAUCCUCUGAUCAAAUAUCUCAGUGCCACCACUGGCUUUGGAAGAAAUUACAUUAUGACCCAGAAGGUAAAUGUGCUUACGUUGUUGCACUGAUGUUUGCUGCUGGGUUGAUGA